GAGAUUCCUGUGCCAACAUCAUACUGUUCUAGAAUUACUGGAUCUCUUAUGCUAGGGCUGCUGGUCAAACCUGAGUUCCUGAAACCUUUAACCCUACUCAGCCAAUACAACCGAUAACAUUCCUGAAGAGACAGAGUCUUGUUCUGUCGUGCAUGCUGGCGUACAGUGCCACAAUCACAGCUCACCGCAGCUUCCAACUUCUGGACUCACAUGAUCCUUCUGCCUCAGACUUCCAAGUACUUGGGACUACAGUCACGAAUCACCACAGCCAGCUUGGAGUGACUUUCUAAGGGAUUCCAUCCAAGUUACCACAUUAUAUUUGUUAAUCACGUGUUCUUUGGCUUCUCUUGUUUGUGACAGUUUCUCAGACUUCUGUUUUGCUUUGUUCUCAAUAACCUUGACAGUUUUGAGGAGUAGUGAUAAGAAAGUUACUAUGCGCAGACCACUCUUAGGGAGUGAAGAAUUAUGAUGCCCCUCCUUGAGAAUGGAGUACUUACAUAAAUUACUUGGGACUCUUCUGCAUAGGAGGGUCUUGCUCAGGCUGGAGUACACUGGUGCAAUCAUGGCUCCCUGCAGCCUCAACCUCCUGGGAUCAAGCAAUCCUCCCACCUCAGCCUCCCAAGUAGCUGGGACUACAGGUGCAUGCUAUUAUACCCAGCUAAUUUUUUAAAUUUUUUGUAGAGACAAGGUCUCACUAUGUUUCCCAGGCUGGUCUUGAACGCCUGGGCUCAAACAAUUCCCCUACCUUGGUUUCCCAAAGUGCUGGCAUGAGCCACUGUGCCCAGACUCAUUAUUUAUUAAACUAUUUUGUG
rnacentral:lncRNA from 1 species